rnacentral:rRNA from 1 species
GUACACUCCUACGGGAGGCAGCAGUGGGGAAUUUUGGACAAUGGGCGAAAGCCUGAUACAGCAAUGCCGCGUGAGUGAAGAAGGCAUUCGGGUUGUAAAGCUCUUUUGUCAGGGAAGAAACGGUGAGAGCUAAUAUCUCUUGCUAAUGACGGUACCUGAAGAAUAAGCACCGGCUAACUACGUGCCAGCAGCCGCGGUAAUACGUAGGGUGCAAGCGUUAAUCGGAAUUACUGGGCGUAAAGCGUGCGCAGGCGGUUUUGUAAGUCUGAUGUGAAAUCCCCGGGCUCAACCUGGGAAUUGGAUUGGAGACUGCAAGGCUAGAAUCUGGCAGAGGGGGGGAGAAUUCCACGUGUAGCAGUGAAAUGCGUAGAUAUGUGGAGGAACACCGAUGGCGAAGGCAGCCCCCUGGGUCAAGAUUGACGCUCAUGCACGAAAGCGUGGGGAGCAAACAGGAUUAGAAACCCGAGUAGUCC